CUGGAACAUAGUUUUUACAAUUUUCAAAAUAUUUGCUGUUUCAUACCCACGACCGACUGCUGUCAGGAUAGAGGUCAUGCGUGGAAACACAUGGAUCUGCCGGAUAACACUGAAAAGUUUGAGAAGAACUCGACUGGAUACUUCGUAAGCACCAUCGUCAGCAAGCAAGAAUGUUUUGUUAUAAAAUAUAGAAAGAAAUUAGUAUUGUAAAUUACAUAUUUCUUUAAGACA